rnacentral:rRNA from 1 species
GUGGGGUAAUGGCCUACCAAGGCGGCGACGGGUAGCCGGCCUGAGAGGGUGGACGGCCACAUUGGGACUGAGACACGGCCCAGACUCCUACGGGAGGCAGCAGUGGGGAAUAUUGCACAAUGGGCGGAAGCCUGAUGCAGCGACGCCGCGUGGGGGAUGGCGGCCUUCGGGUUGUAAACUCCUUUCACCAUCGACGAAGGGUUUCUGACGGUAGAUGGAGAAGAAGCACCGGCUAACUACGUGCCAGCAGCCGCGGUAAUACGUAGGGUGCGAGCGUUGUCCGGAAUUACUGGGCGUAAAGAGCUCGUAGGUGGUUUGUCGCGUCGUCUGUGAAAUUCCGGGGCUUAACUCCGGGCGUGCAGGCGAUACGGGCAUAACUUGAGUACUGUAGGGGAGACUGGAAUUCCUGGUGUAGCGGUGAAAUGCGCAGAUAUCAGGAGGAACACCGGUGGCGAAGGCGGGUCUCUGGGCAGUAACUGACGCUGAGGAGCGAAAGCAUGGGGAGCGAACAGGAUUAGAUACCCUGGUAGUCCAUGCCGUAAACGGUGGGCGCUAGGUGUGGGCUUCCUUCCACGGGAUCCGUGCCGUAGCUAACGCAUUAAGCG